GCCGAGGUGGUGGAAUUGGCAUACACGUCGGUCUCAAAAACCGAUGGAGCUUGCUCCGUGCGGGUUCGACUCCCGCCCUCGGCA
rnacentral:tRNA from 1 species